rnacentral:rRNA from 1 species
UACGUAGGGUGCGAGCGUUAAUCGGAAUUACUGGGCGUAAAGCGUGCGCAGGCGGCUUUGCAAGACAGAUGUGAAAUCCCCGGGCUCAACCUGGGAACUGCAUUUGUGACUGCAAGGCUAGAGUACGGCAGAGGGGGAUGGAAUUCCGCGUGUAACAGUGAAAUGCGUAGAUAUGCGGAGGAACACCAAUGGCGAAGGCAAUCCCCUGGGCCUGUACUGACGCUCAUGCACGAAAGCGUGGGGAGCAAACAGG